rnacentral:miRNA from 4 species
UGAUAUGUAAUCUAGCUUACAG